rnacentral:tRNA from 1 species
CGCGGGGUAGAGCAGUUGGUAGCUCGUCGGGCUCAUAACCCGGAGGCCGCAGGUUCAAAUCCUGUCCCCGCAACCA